rnacentral:rRNA from 1 species
UUAGGAAUAUUCGUCAAUGGGGGAAACCCUGAACGAGCAAUGCCGCGUGAGUGAUGACGAUCUUUAUGAUUGUAAAACUCUGUUGUGAAGGAAGAACUACCAUUAUAGGUAAUGAUAAUGGUUUGACGGUACUUCACCAGAAAGCCCCGGCUAACUACGUGCCAGCAGCCGCGGUAAUACGUAGGGGGCGAGCGUUAUCCGGAUUUAUUGGGCGUAAAGCGUUCGUAGGCGGUUUAUUAAGUCUAAAAUUUAAGUCUGAGGCUUAACCUCAGUUUGUUUUAGAAACUGGUAGACUUGAGUGUGGUAGAGGCAAGUGGAAUUUCUAGUGUAGCGGUUAAAUGCGUAGAUAUUAGAAGGAACACCAGUGGCGAAGGCGACUUGCUGGGCCAUUACUGACGUU